GGUGCUGCGGGCCGCGCCGCAGAAGAUGUCGGCGGCGCGGUGCUGGUGGUGGCUGCCGGCGCUGCUAUGGGGCGGCGCGGGGGGCUACGUGGUUCUCAGCUCGGUGUCCUGGCCGCUGCCCGAGGCGGGGGGAGCGGCAGACGAGCUGCACAGCUCCUCCACCGAGGAGGCUCUGCCCGGCCUUCUGGAGGAGGCGGGCGGCAUCUGGAAGCAGAGCUUCCCGGCCUCGGCGUACCGGGAGGACGCGGCGCUGGGCCCCGGGGCGUCGGCGCGGCGCUCGGAGCAGGGGGCCGCCCCCUCCCGGAUGUUCUCGUACCGCCGGCAGCCCGCAGCACCGCCGGGCCGCGCCGCCACCGCCCGCCGCCUCGCCCGACACGGCGCCUGGGGCUUCGUGGCCUCCCGGGCCGCCCACGGAAAGAUCCAAGGAAUGCCCUAUGGGAACCUUUUGCCUGUCAGUGACGGUCCUGUCAAUAACAGCACCGGGAUUCCUUUCUUUUAUGUGACACUGAAAGAUAAUGCAGUGGCAGAUCUCCUUAAGGAUCCUGUAGCGUCACUGACCCUACCAGAAUCAGAUGGGAAUUUCUGCAGAUCAUCAGGUUCAACUGCCAACCCAUCACAACCACGCCCACUAAACCAUGUCCCUAAGUGCCACCUCUACCGACACCUGACAGCUCUGGACAUCCCACUGGUUGGGUUGUAGCUCCCGAGAAGAGAUUUUGGUAAACAACAAUCUUCCAUGUAAAGGAUGCUGGGUUUGAGAUGUACUGAUCUACAGCCGGUCUGAGAUAAACACCUUCUGCAGCACUCCAGUACCCCACAGGAAAGCUUCAGCAGCUUCUGCCAGGCUUCUUCUAUGCCAAGUUGUCCAGAGCGGCCGUGUGAGCAACAGGGAGCAUCCUUAGUGCUGGGCUUUGUGAGGUGAUGUAGCAGUCUUCUCUCUCCUCCUUGCUCAUGCCUGUUAUCCUGGCAGACCUCAUAUUGUGCUAGAUGUCAAGGCAGUAUCUGUGAGGUUUUCUUCAAAAAAAGAAGUGCCAUUUAUAGAUGGUAUUAAUACCAAAACUUCUCUCAGUCUAGGACAUUAUUAGUUGUUUUAAUUCCAAAAUAAUUAUGCAAAAUAGCUGAAGGAAUAAUGCUCGACGUGAGAAAGUUCAUGUCCUUAUAUGCCAGCAGUGAAUUUGGCCUUGUAGCUUGUUUACAUGUAUAAUUUUAUUAGAAUGCAACUAUUAAACUGCUCUAAGUUGUGCGACUUAAAAUAACUGAAAGCUGUUUGAUGCUCAUAGUCAAUGCUUGGUGUUUGUGUUUGGUGCUCUCCUGGAGAAUGCUCCUGACCUAUUGCAUACAAAGGAAAUCUCUGGCCUUUUGCAAGAAAACAUAGCUGACAUUUCGAUAGUCUUCUUGUAUCUAAUGAGUUUCAAGUGGCUUGUGUGCUUGUACAUCAGUUUGAUAUUAAAUUUAGUAGUGAAUUUCAUUUGCUUUGGUUCAGAAUAUACUCAGGUUUCAAACCUUGACAAUAAAUAUUCCCCCUUUCUGGGCUGUAAGGGAUAUAGGGUGGCCUUUUUUGUUUUCCAGCCUUAGUACUUAAUCAUCUGGGGAAAAAGAAUUAAAAAGCUCGAACUGUGCUGGCUUUUAAAAAUGAAAGAAAGAGAGCUGUGAUAGAUGGUAUCAGGGUUGCAAUGCAUGCUACUGUUGCAACUAUAGCCUGGAUUCCUCAUCUCUGACCUAGAGAUUUCCAUUUCCCAGAGGGACACAGGCUGUUCCUCUCUCUGCAGAUGCUCUCUGAUGGUCAGGCUGCAGGAGUGUUAGUUAGUGGUGACACUCUGUCUGAUCUGAUGGCAGAUAAAUGGAUAAUGGAGGCAAGAAAAAUUAAAUGGUUCAAGGCUAUAAAUAGACUACACUGGCAUGCCUAUUCUGCAGAGAAACUGAAAAGAUUGAGUCUUAUUCUUGCAGAUUUCAGAGAGAACAAGACUGGGGCCUAUACUAAAGAAUAGAGAGGCUAUUGUUCUGAAUAAAUUUCCCAACACACAAGCUGCUUGGAAAGAGGAUCUCUUUCCAAGUAAGAUCCUGGACCUGCCUUAUUACUGCUGCAGUCUGGAAAACAGGCAAUUAAUUUUAAACAUGUGUCAUCUCCUUGACAUCAGGUUCAGCACAUUCAAAGGGACCAAAUGCAGCUUUCUGAGAGGAGGAACAGUUACAUGGCUGCCAUAGGCUGGUUUUCACACAAGGGGAAAAGAAAGAGAAGUGAUAAGCUAAGUCCUUAGGUUCGUUUCCCUUUGCUGUUAGCUUGAAGAUGGUGUUUCAAAUCCUCACUGCAGACUGGGAGCGAUUUUGAGUGACCCAGAUUCCUCUGCUGUUUUAUGACAUGCAUCAGAGAUGGCUCCUUCAGAGCCAUUCCACCAACCCUGUUUCAUCUUCUGCUUGAGGUACAACACUGGCAUGAACUAAAGCAUCUCCAGCAUUUUUGGAGGGCGGCAGGCCACCAGGAGGACUGCUAGAGGAGAGCACUUUGGCAG